rnacentral:misc_RNA from 1 species
CAAGCUGCGAUAAGUAAUGUGAAUUGCAGAACUCAGUGAAUCAUCGAGUCUUCGAACGCAUAUUGCGCCCCCUGGCACUCCGGGGGGCACGCCUGUCCGAGCGUCGUCAACCGUCCCCCAGGCUUCCCGUGUGGUGGCCUGGGCGUUGGGCCCUUCUUGCCCCUGUGCGGGCAGGUCCGAAACCCUACCAACCGACGUCCCUUGGAGCCCCGAGCGCAGCGGCUGUCCCAGCUCGAGUGGCCACCAGGGUCCGAUCGUUGGCGUACGUUGGAGCCUAGCCUGGCACCGAUCCCCUUCUGUUGACCUCGGAUCAGGUGGGAAUACCCGCUGAACUUAAGC